CAAGGAGGAAAAAUGGGCAAAGCGACUCUGCGAAUAAAACAACAGAGAUUCCAUGGAAUACCGGAGCUGAGAUUCUGCAUUCUCUCUUCAAGAACUGCUAAGAAUCAUGAAAAUCACUCCCCCUCUGCAAAACCUCCUGAGAAACCUUUCCUUAGGGAGCUAUCCUGAUGGUUCUCAUGAUAUAUCAAUACUGUGAUCAGGAAAAAAGACCUGCGACCGCAAAU
rnacentral:lncRNA from 1 species